GUAACACGUAUCCAACUUCCCAUAACUCAGGGAUAGCCUUUCGAAAGAAAGAUUAAUACCUGAUAGUACUUUUUCAAGGCAUCUUGAGAAAGUUAAAGAUUUAUUGGUUAUGGAUGGGAUGCGUUCCAUUAGAUAGUUGGUGAGGUAACGGCUCACCAAGUCUUCGAUGGAUAGGGGUUCUGAGAGGAAGGUCCCCCACAUUGGUACUGAGACACGGACCAAACUCCUACGGGAGGCAGCAGUGAGGAAUAUUGGUCAAUGGGCGAGAGCCUGAACCAGCCAAGUAGCGUGAAGGAUGAAAGGUCCUAUGGAUUGUAAACUUCUUUUAUAGUAGAAUAAAGUGAUCCACGUGUGGAUUUUUGUAUGUAUACUAUGAAUAAGGAUCGGCUAACUCCGUGCCAGCAGCUGC
rnacentral:rRNA from 1 species